AGUAUACAUUAUAAGUCAAGUGCCCACACGCACGGUUAGGCGGAGCUUCCAACCUGCCAAGUGCCAACUUCCCUAGUUUUCAUCGACACCUCCUCUGUAAUCCCUUCAAACUUCUUCAAAUCUCGACUUCUUCACCCGUUCUCUCUAUAUUUCCUGACCAAAACUCUUUCUCCACCUUUCUCAGAAACGCCUGCUAAUUUGGAUCAAAAUCCUCCAUUAUUAUCGCAUUCUAGAGGCGUUCGUGUUUCCUUCUCUUCUGAAAAUGGAUGUCACGAUGCCUAUGUGCAAAUCUGUCACCUCGCCUCCUGGUUUAUUCGUGGGGAGAAGUGGAGGAAUCAGAAGCUCCCAAUGCAGCUUCAUGGUGGGGAAUAGAGUGAACUUUCCAAGGCAAAGUGCUCAGAGUGUACAAGUUCGUAGUUACAAAGCUAAAAAGCGUGGAGGAGCUCUGUAUGCUACAUGUCGUGCUGACAAAAUCCUCGUGGCAAAUAGAGGAGAGAUUGCUGUUCGGAUCAUUAGAACUGCGCAUGAGAUGGGGAUACCCUGUGUAGCCGUGUACUCAACCAUAGAUAAGGAUGCGCUUCAUGUCAAAUUGGCUGAUGAAUCAGUUUGCAUAGGCGAAGCACCGAGCAACCAAUCGUACCUGGUGAUUCCAAAUGUUUUAUCUGCUGCUAUCAGCCGUAAAUGUACAAUGCUGCAUCCUGGGUAUGGCUUCCUUGCUGAGAAUGCAGUAUUCGUGGAAAUGUGCAGAGAACAUGGAAUUAACUUUAUUGGGCCCAAUCCCGACAGUAUCCGUGUUAUGGGUGAUAAGUCAACUGCUAGAGAUACAAUGAAGAAAGCAGGUGUGCCCACUGUACCAGGAAGUGACGGAUUGUUGCAGACCACAGAAGAAGCUAUCAGGCUUUCCCAUGAGAUAGGAUUUCCUGUUAUGAUCAAGGCAACGGCAGGGGGUGGAGGCCGUGGGAUGCGUCUAGCUAAAGAACCAGAUGAGUUUGUGAAGUUACUGCAGCAAGCCAAGAGUGAGGCUGCGGCUGCUUUUGGAAAUGAUGGAGUUUAUCUGGAGAAGUACAUUCAAAAUCCAAGGCACAUUGAAUUCCAGGUUCUUGCGGAUAAAUAUGGUAAUGUCGUCCACUUUGGAGAGCGUGAUUGCAGCAUCCAGAGACGGAACCAAAAACUGCUGGAAGAAGCACCUUCUCCUGCUUUGACCCCUGAGUUGCGGAAAGCUAUGGGUGACGCAGCAGUUGCAGCAGCAGCAUCCAUUGGUUACAUUGGUGUUGGAACAGUCGAGUUCCUUUUGGAUGAAAGAGGUUCCUUCUACUUUAUGGAAAUGAAUACUCGGAUCCAGGUUGAGCAUCCUGUGACAGAGAUGAUUUCCUCUGUGGACUUGAUUGAGGAACAAAUUCGUGUAGCCAUGGGUGAAAAACUCCAGUACAAACAGGAAGAUAUUGUGCUCAGAGGACAUUCAAUUGAAUGCCGAAUCAAUGCAGAAGACGCAUUUAAAGGAUUUCGACCUGGACCAGGGAGAAUAACCGCAUAUCUGCCAUCUGGAGGACCGUUUGUUAGAAUGGAUAGCCAUGUUUAUCCUGACUAUGUGGUUCCUCCUAGCUAUGACUCCCUUCUUGGAAAGCUUAUUGUAUGGGCUCCAACAAGAGAAAAGGCAAUUGAGCGCAUGAAAAGGGCUCUUGAUGACACUAUUAUCACAGGGGUUCCUACGACCAUUGAAUACCAUAAACUUAUCCUUGAUAUAGAGGAUUUUAGGAAUGGCAACGUUGAUACUGCUUUUAUCCCAAAGCACGAGCAGGAAUUAGCAGAGGUGAGAAGCUGAUGAACCCUGUGUUUUGUGUAUGUAGUGCAGUUGAAGAUGGUAAUUCCUUUUCCCUCCUAAGCUGGACUUCAUACCCCAGAAACUGGUGCGAGUGACCCCGAGCAAAGAACUAGCUGGUGCAGCUGCUUAGAUUGAUCUCUUGCUCUGGCAUUGCAAUCGUCCUCAGUUCCUGUCAAGCCAAACUUUACAAAUUCAAAAUGCUCACUAUUUGUUGUGUUGGAAGAAGCUGCACGGAGUGCUGUGAUCUCGAUGCUGCAGAUUAUGCCUCCUGUGUGCAAAGACCCUUGUUUAUUUUUUAUUUAUUUUUUGUCAGUUUUUUUUUGGGUCUAAUGCCGACCUUUCUUUCUGAUAGAAGCCUGAGUAACUUGGUGUCUCUUCUCAGCUUAUUAUCUCAUUAAAGCUUUUUUCCUUAAUUUUUGAUGAAAAAGAGAGAGAUAGCUGCCCUUAAUUUUUGAACUCUAUUAGUAUGACAAGACAUUGAUCAUCAUGUUCAAAUCACACACUAUAUUGUUAGGCUUUA